rnacentral:rRNA from 1 species
AACGUAGGACACAAGCGUUAUCCGGAAUUACUGGGCGUAAAGGGCGUGCAGGCGGUUGCGUAAGUUAGGCGUGAAAGACUUCGGCUAAACCGGGGGAGGUCGUCUGAUACUGCGUAACUAGAGUGUGGUAGAGGCGUGUAGAAUUCCGGGUGUAGUGGUGAAAUGCGUAGAGAUCCGGAGGAAUACCAGUGGCGAAGGCGGCACGCUGGGCCAUAACUGACGCUAAGACUCGAAAGCAUGGGUAGCGAACGGG